AUGAACGCUGGCGGCGUGCCUCAUCCAUGCCAGUCGAGCGAACGGACGAGAAGCUUGCUUCUCUGAUGUUAGCGGCGGACGGGUGAGUAACACGUGGAUAACCUACCUAUAAGACUGGGAUAACUUCGGGAAACCGGAGCUAAUACCGGAUGAUAUUUUGAACCGCAUGGUUCAAAAGUGAAAGACGGUCUUGCUGUCACUUAUAGAUGGAUCCGCGCUGCAUUAGCUAGUUGGUAAGGUAACGGCUUACCAAGGCAACGAUGCAUAGCCGACCUGAGAGGGUGAUCGGCCACACUGGAACUGAGACACGGUCCAGACUCCUACGGGAGGCAGCAGUAGGGAAUCUUCCGCAAUGGGCGAAAGCCUGACGGAGCAACGCCGCGUGAGUGAUGAAGGUCUUCGGAUCGUAAAACUCUGUUAUUAGGGAAGAACAUAUGUGUAAGUAACUGUGCACAUCUUGACGGUACCUAAUCAGAAAGCCACGGCUAACUACGUG
rnacentral:rRNA from 1 species